AAAAGUCAACUCAAACAUUUUCGAAAAUUAUGAAAUAAAUCACACUCAAUCCUAACAUCUAACAUAGCAAGCAUGUCAAAUUUCAUGGCAUUUGGAUGAGAGGAAGGCAGUCAAAUAAAAUCAUGAAGUCAAACCAAAUUCAAUUAAGCAUGGUGAAAGUCAACAAGCAUGGGUCAACUUCAAAAAAUCAUAUCAAUUUG
rnacentral:lncRNA from 1 species